UUACGGCCAUAUCACGUUGAAACACCGAUUCCCGUCCAAUCACCGAAGUUAAGCAACGUCAAGUCUAGUCAGUACCUAGAUAGGUGACCGCUUGGGAAUACCAUAUACUG
rnacentral:rRNA from 1 species